UAUGAUGGCAGCACCCCAUAUGGGGGCCCUCCCAUGAUGCCAAUGAUGGGCCCUCCUCCUCCUCCUGGGGUGAUGCCAGUGGAACCUGCUCCUGGAAUGAGGCUGACCAUGGGAGGCCACAUGCCCAUGAUGCCUGGGUGCCCAAUGAUGAAACCUCCUGCCCGUCUCAUGAUGGUGCCCAGUCAGCCCAGAAUGACUCGACCAGACAGA
rnacentral:lncRNA from 1 species